rnacentral:rRNA from 1 species
CCUACGGGUGGCAGCAGUGAGGAAUAUUGGUCAAUGGACGAGAGUCUGAACCAGCCAAGUAGCGUGAAGGAUGACUGCCCUAAGGGUUGUAAACUUCUUUUAUCUGGGAAUAAAAUGUUCCACGUGUGGGAUUUUGUAUGUACCAUAUGAAAAAGGAUCGGCUAACUCCGUGCCAGCAGCCGCGGUAAUACGGAGGAUCCGAGCGUUAUCCGGAUUUAUUGGGUUUAAAGGGUGCGUAGGUGGAUUGUUAAGUCAGUUGUGAAAGGUUGCGGCUCAACCGUAAAAUUGCAGUUGAAACUGGCAGUCUUGAGUACAGUAGAGGUGUGCGGAAUUCGUGGUGUAGCGGUGAAAUGCUUAGAUAUCACGAAGAACUCCGAUUGCGAAGGCAGCUUACUAAACUGGCACUGACAUUGAUGCUCGAAAGUGUGGGUAUCAAACAGGAUUAGAUACCCCAGUAGUC